AACGAACGCUGGCGGCAUGCCUAACACAUGCAAGUCGAACGAGACCUUCGGGUCUAGUGGCGCACGGGUGCGUAACGCGUGGGAAUCUGCCCUCUGGUACGGAAUAACUCAGGGAAACUUGAGCUAAUACCGUAUAAUGACUUCGGUCCAAAGAUUUAUCGCCUGAGGAUGAGCCCGCGUCGGAUUAGCUAGUUGGUGAGGUAAAAGCUCACCAAGGCGACGAUCCGUAGCUGGUCUGAGAGGAUGAUCAGCCACACUGGGACUGAGACACGGCCCAGACUCCUACGGGAGGCAGCAGUGGGGAAUAUUGGACAAUGGGCGAAAGCCUGAUCCAGCAAUGCCGCGUGAGUGAUGAAGGCCUUAGGGUUGUAAAGCUCUUUUACCCGGGAUGAUAAUGACAGUACCGGGAGAAUAAGCCCCGGCUAACUCCGUGCCAGCAGCCGCCGCAGUAA
rnacentral:rRNA from 1 species